UGGGACAGCAUCGUGCGGUACGGGGACCCUGCACGCGCACGUGGCCAGCACACGUCACACGAACGGAAAGCGAUCGCGGUCCCAGACGUACUUGGAAGGAGUCAAGGCGCUCGGUGUGCUCGACGCGGGCUAGCAGGCGUGAACCAGGGGUGACGAACUGGGCGCCGGGCUCGCCCAAGCCCAUGGUGUUGAUCCGGUCCACGGCCGAACUGAAGGCCAUUUCGAGCACGUCUUCGCCUGUCUCAAAGAUCCCGCCUGUGGUCGAGGCAAGUGUCGGAACACCUUAGUGCACUUCCAGGCUGCGCCCCUGCGCAGGUUGGACGGCGUGAAGACUUACCUGUCGGGUGGUGCGUCCCAGUCCCCGGGAGGAUUCACCGCCGGAGCACGGGGAGAC